rnacentral:rRNA from 1 species
AGAGUUUGAUCCUGGCUCAGGACGAACGCUGGCGGCGUGCCUAAUACAUGCAAGUCGAACGCUGCUUAAGAAGAAACUUCGGUUUUUUCUUAAGUGGAGUGGCGGACGGGUGAGUAACACGUGGGGAACCUAUCCAUCAGCGGGGGAUAACACUUGGAAACAGGUGCUAAUACCGCAUACGGCUUUUUUUCACCUGAAAGAAAGCUCAAAGGCGCUUUACAGCGUCACUGAUGGCUGGUCCCGCGGUGCAUUAGCCAGUUGGUGAGGUAACGGCUCACCAAAGCAACGAUGCAUAGCCGACCUGAGAGGGUGAUCGGCCACACUGGGACUGAGACACGGCCCAGACUCCUACGGGAGGCAGCAGUAGGGAAUCUUCGGCAAUGGACGCAAGUCUGACCGAGCAACGCCGCGUGAGUGAAGAAGGUUUUCGGAUCGUAAAGCUCUGUUGUCAGCAAAGAACAGGAGAAAGAGGAAAUGCUUUUUCUAUGACGGUAGCUGACCAGAAAGCCACGGCUAACUACGUGCCAGCAGCCGCGGUAAUACGUAGGUGGCAAGCGUUGUCCGGAUUUAUUGGGCGUAAAGCGAGCGCAGGCGGUGAUUUAAGUCUGAUGUGAAAGCCCCCAGCUCAACUGGGGAGGGUCAUUGGAAACUGGAUCACUUGAGUGCAGAAGAGGAGAGUGGAAUUCCAUGUGUAGCGGUGAAAUGCGUAGAUAUAUGGAGGAACACCAGUGGCGAAGGCGGCUCUCUGGUCUGUAACUGACGCUGAGGCUCGAAAGCGUGGGUAGCAAACAGGAUUAGAUACCCUGGUAGUCCACGCCGUAAACGAUGAGUGCUAAGUGUUGGAGGGUUUCCGCCCUUCAGUGCUGCAGUUAACGCAUUAAGCACUCCGCCUGGGGAGUACGACCGCAAGGUUGAAACUCAAAGGAAUUGACGGGGGCCCGCACAAGCGGUGGAGCAUGUGGUUUAAUUCGAAGCAACGCGAAGAACCUUACCAGGUCUUGACAUCCUUUGACCGCCCUAGAGAUAGGGUUUCCCCUUCGGGGGCAAAGUGACAGGUGGUGCAUGGUUGUCGUCAGCUCGUGUCG